AUGGAAGCAGUUCAAACAUGGGUUUCAAAGAACAAACUUGCCAGCAUUGGUGCACUAUGGGCUUCUGGAAUUGGAGCAACACUUGUAGCUUAUUCACGAGCUAAAUCUCCGAUGAAGCCGAGUCUAAGGCUUAUCCAUGCUAGGAUGCACGCACAGGCGCUAACUCUAGCAGUGCUUUCGGGGGCAGCUGCGUAUCACUAUUAUGAAAAUCGUGAUGUUCAUCUAAAACCAGUGGCAGAUAGUUCUGAAUCUGAUCCAAAUGUCAACCAUCUAGUUGAGUGGGAGCUCCAUAGCCCAUUUUAA